rnacentral:rRNA from 1 species
AGCAGUCGCCGCGGUAAUACGGAGGGUGCAAGCGUUAAUCGGAAUUACUGGGCGUAAAGCGCACGCAGGCGGUCUGUCAAGUCGGAUGUGAAAUCCCCGGGCUCAACCUGGGAACUGCAUUCGAAACUGGCAGGCUAGAGUCUUGUAGAGGGGGGUAGAAUUCCAGGUGUAGCGGUGAAAUGCGUAGAGAUCUGGAGGAAUACCGGUGGCGAAGGCGGCCCCCUGGACAAAGACUGACGCUCAGGUGCGAAAGCGUGGGGAGCGAACAGGAUUAGAUACCCGGGUAGUCCCUGUCUCUUAUAC